UCGCCUGUUUAUCAAAAACAUGUCCUAAUGAUUUUAUUUUAGGUCGGGCCUGCUCGGUGAAUUUAUUUUUACAGCCGCGGUAAAUUAACUGUGCUAAGGUAGCAUAAUCAUUAGUCUUUUAAUUGAGGUCUUGAAUGAAUGGUUUGAUGAAAAAGAGUCUUUAUUAGAUUUUAUUAGUUGAAUUUUAUUUUUUUUUAAAAAAGAAAAUAUGUUUAAAAGGGACGAUAAGACCCUAUAGAUCUUUAAAAUUUUAAUUUUUAUUAAAUUUUGGUUAUUUUUCUUUAAGAAAGAUUAAAUUUUUUUUGUUGGGGUGAUAGUAAAAAAAUUAAACUUUUAUUAUUUUUUACAUUUAUUUUUGUUUAUAAUGAUCCUAAAUUUUGGAUUAAAAGAAUAAGAUACCUUAGGGAUAACAGCGUUAUUAAAUUG
rnacentral:rRNA from 1 species